rnacentral:rRNA from 1 species
UACAGAGGGUGCGAGCGUUAAUCGGAAUUACUGGGCGUAAAGCGUGCGUAGACGGUUAUUUAAGUCGGAUGUGAAAGCCCCGGGCUCAACCUGGGAAUUGCAUUCGAGACUGAGUAGCUAGGGUACGGUAGAGGGAAGUGGAAUUUCCGGUGUAGCGGUGAAAUGCGUAGAUAUCGGAAGGAACAUCAGUGGCGAAAGCGACUUCCUGGACCAGUACCGACGUUCAGGCACGAAAGCGUGGGGAGCAAACAGG